rnacentral:lncRNA from 1 species
CCCGAAGGGUCCAUUUCCGGUUUGUGAUCUCCUCUUCUUCCUUCCUCUUCUUCUUUCUUCCUCUUCUUCUUUCUUCCUCUUCUUCUUUGCUUUUCCUUCGGUUUCGGUGCGAUGGCCGGAAAUCCAUCUCAGGGAGCUCGAUCGGGAAAUCCGACCGAUGACUCUCGGUCGACUCCGAAAGUUGAGGUUUCCUCGCUUUCAGGGCCGAACGUUGAUCGGCUUCGGGAGCAGU